GGUAUAUAAUUAUAUUUUUGCCAAAUGUCCCUUGUGUCUUUUAAUUUCAUUGGUGUUUUAGUUUGUCUUAUGUCAUUGGAUUGGUCUUGGAGAUUUUCCCUCCAAGAGUUCUGUUCUUUGUGGUCAGUCUUUAUUCAGUUUUUGAAGAAGAGAGUUGAUUUCAGUAGAUCUGACAUAUUUUGACAAUUAGACAUAGACCGACAUUUUUCCUCUUGAAUGGUAAGUUAAUAAUUUAUUACUAAUGCUAAUCUAUUCUAUAAUUCCUUUACUAAAUGUUAAAUCUGUAAUUUUGCAUAAAAUUCCUUUUGUUGCCACAUUCCUGGAAUAAAUGAUCAGUGAGAGUGAGACUUAUAUAAUGUAAAUAUCUGUGAUAGUAAUGUAUAUGAUUCGUCUCACUGUGAUAUUAUUUUAAAGUAAAAGUAUGUUUUAUGACUUACAAGAUAUUGUAGAUAUCAUAAUUAAUUUAUAGAUCAGACCAGUUUGGUGUCAUCUGUAAAUAUUGUUCACUCGAGCCUAUUCCCAUAGAAUGGGUUUCAUCAUUGGACAAUUCGUGCAUUGCAUGGUAACUCCUGAAUAAACGUCUUGUCGAGAACCCAAACAGGUGUUCCUGUUAUUACUUAAGGGAAAGAGAAACCUGUUACAAAUUGGCGCCCACGUUGGGACAAGACGAUUCUGAAGAAGAGGUGCAAAUUUGACUUGUCGUUCUAUAAACAUUUGGAUCCAUCUACAGACAACCGGUUCCGGAGUGGGGUACCCCGGAGCGGCCUGAGUGAGCUCAAGUGAAACUAAUCAUUUAAUUUGUGAUUAUUGUGCUUUAUAUGUGUACAUAGUAUCCAAUAUGGAUUAGUAGAACUAAAGAUCAGCUGAUCGGUGAGUUUUUUUUUUUUCUUUUUCCAUUGUGUAUUUUGAUGUAGAUCUGCAGAAUCAAAAUUGUCUGUUUUUUGGGUACCCAUACGCUAGCUGUUAGAUUAAUUAGGUUGCAAAGUUGUUUACUUUAGAAAUGUAAUGUUAUUGUAAUUAGUAGAGAAUCUGUAUUACUAGUAGGUGGUCAGAGAGCGCAGAUUAAAAGUGUUCCUUUCUGCACAAUAUCCCUACCCGUCCCUAUUGCAGGUUUAUAUAUUAUACUAAUACAUAUAACAUUGUGAAUAGUAACUAAACUCUUUUGACUGAUACAGGACAGUAAGACAGUCUUUCUGUGUGCAUACGUGUGUGCAUGCGUUCGCGCGCAUGCAUGUGUACGUGUCUGUCUGUGUGUCUAUGUGUUUGUCUGUGUGACUGACUAUGUGUUUGUGUGUCUGUCUAUGUGUCUGUCUGUCUGUGUGUGUGUUUGUCUGUCCGUGUGUGUGUUUGUCUGUGUGUGUGUUUGUCUGUCUGUAUAUGUAUGUGUGUGUGUUUGUCUGUCUGUAUAUGUAUGUUUGUCUGUGUAUACCCGUUCUAUGUGUGUGUUUAUCAGUGUGUGUCUGUCUGUGUGUGUUUGUCUAUGUAUGUGUUGUGUGUAUCUGUCUGUGUGUCUGUCAGGUAGUCAUAGAGAAACAGAUAAAGCUUCAGAAUAUAAAUUUCAAUUUUAUUGAAUUCACUGUAUAUUGCAUAAGGAUCACUAACAUAGGUGUGAUACACUGUACAUCUAGUGGAGUACACCGACUUUUCAGAAACUUUUUGAUAUGUCAUCCAUACGCAUCCUGGCAUGAAACUGCUUCGCUUCUGUUUGUCUAUUUGAAUUACACCAGUGGAUCUACAUAGGCUAGCUUAACUAUGACAUCAUAAUAUAACACGUAAUGUGAUGUCAUAAUAGAGUAAUGACAUCAGAUUUUUUUUUUUUUUUUUUUUUUCUUGGCUAGAGUUAUCUUCCUUGACAAAUAUUCUUCUUCAUACAAAGGUGUCUUAUUUUGACUUAUGUUUAUUAGAUAAAAGCAUGAUAUCAGGGUAAUUUAUUAAAGAUGUGACGGUUUAGACGAACCAAUUUUUAGGGCAAAUUUCUCAUUGAAAUAAGUUUUUUUGAACUUGAAAAAACAAAAAACAGACUCUCCAGGAUUGCUCAAGUUAACAUCCUUACUGGCCAUUUCAGGGUUUUUUUCUCUACAAUUCCUUUUAUUUCACAUCAAAUUUCCUUAAAAUACAAUUCUAGUCUUUAUUUGGAAUCAAAAUCGCAUGUAUUUCACUCAGUUCUGGGUCUUUUAUUCUAUUUUCAACUUUACCAAGGGGAAGAACUCUGCUGGAAACAGUGAUGUGAAGAGGGCAGUUUUUGUUCACUCAUUUCAAGAUAUAAUUAACAAUAACUCCCCAUGUAUGAUACAUCAUUUUACUCGGAAAAACUUAAAUUUUUAAACAGUAUAGGUAUUUCAUGAUGUCGUAGAAUUUCCGCAGUCUUUAAAGUCUCAAUAUACCUGGCGAAUUGCCAAUACGAAGCUAAAGUGACCAGGGUUAAAAUGUAAAUAUGUUAAAAGAGUAUUUUAUAGAAUUUAAAUAGUUUCAUUGUUAUUGAUAUCUGUAUUAAUAUAGGGAGGUGACCAUUCUACAUUGAUCCAGUGCCUUUUUAUGGGAUUCGAAACUGUGACUGUGAGAUGUAUGAGAGUUUGACUUCUAGGCGGGCAAUUCUACUUUCACUUUAAACGGUAAGUUGAAAAGAGCAUGCUGCAUCUUUGAUGUAAAAUAUCUCGAAAAGGAAUCAAGGACCCUAUUGCAAAUUUGGCCUUGUUGGAAAGGUUAGGAAUUUUGCUGAAAGUUGAUAUCUGUCAUUAUACUGGGGAAUUUUUUUUUUUUGAAUUAGGAGGGGUUGAAAA